UCUAAAGCUUCAAUGCACAAGCUGUGCUCUUUACUUCAUCGAGCUACAUCUCUCACCUUAUCUUUCACAAUUCACAUAGUCCACCUCAAGAGCUAAACUGCUACACUCUACCUUUCUCCCUUCAGCCUUUCACUUGCCUUGCUCUUUUACGUUGGAAGAUCCAUCACAGCCUCACAGGCGCCUUAUGUGAAAAAAUGAAUACGAUUCAUUAUGUUGGAUUCACAUGAGAUGGAGCACAGUGGCUCGAGGAGCUCUUCAAGCAACGACCUCAAGAAGCUCGCGACCAAAUAAAGAGUGAGAUGAAGAUCGAGAUAAGGAAUGAGAUGAGAUGGAGAUGAAUAAAAAGCUGCAGAGGGGAAACUGAAAAAAGUAUAUGAAGAGUCGAAUAAGCAAAGGGAGUUGUUUAUAGAACAAAUGAAGAGUGAAAAAUUAGGUGAACUAUAUAUAUAUAUUUCAAGCAUUUUUGUAUUCAAAUGAAUUGUAAAACAAUUUUAGUUAAUUUAAUGUCAUUUUAACUUGUUUACUUUA